UCUGGGGAUGACUUGCUGUUGGUGCUGAGUGACAACUGGAUAUGAUGACUGAUUACCUGAGAAAAAGACUUGAUGAAAUCUCAAGAAAAUUCCUCUAGAUAGUCAAGUUCUGAUCCAGCUGUGUCACUCAGUGUGGCGAGCCUG
rnacentral:miRNA from 1 species